rnacentral:rRNA from 1 species
GACGGUACCUGAGGAAUAAGCACCGGCUAACUUCGUGCCAGCAGCCGCGGUAAUACGAAGGGUGCAAGCGUUAAUCGGAAUUACUGGGCGUAAAGGGUGCGUAGGCGGUUCGUUAAGUCUGUCGUGAAAUCCCCGGGCUCAACCUGGGAAUGGCGAUGGAUACUGGCGAGCUAGAGUGUGUCAGAGGAUGGUGGAAUUCCCGGUGUAGCGGUGAAAUGCGUAGAGAUCGGGAGGAACAUCAGUGGCGAAGGCGGCCAUCUGGGACAACACUGACGCUGAAGCACGAAAGCGUGGGGAGCAAACAGGAUUAG